rnacentral:sRNA from 2 species
CCAUUGGCGCGCUAGGGUUCCGCUCCGACUUGCGUCGGAUGUCUGGUCCGAGAGCGCGCGGCCUCGGUGUUCGGGGUUACACGGCGGGACAAAAGCCCGGGA